UGGCUCAGUUGGUAGAGCAUGGUGUUUGCAACGCCAGGGUUGUGGGUUCACUUCCCAC
rfam:Salmo salar isolate Sally breed double haploid chromosome ssa10, whole genome shotgun sequence.